rnacentral:rRNA from 1 species
UACGAAGGGGGCUAGCGUUGCUCGGAAUCACUGGGCGUAAAGCGUACGUAGGCGGUUAUUCAAGUCAGAGGUGAAAGCCCGGGGCUCAACCCCGGAACUGCCUUUGAAACUAGAUGACUAGAAUCUUGGAGAGGUCAGUGGAAUUCCGAGUGUAGAGGUGAAAUUCGUAGAUAUUCGGAAGAACACCAGUGGCGAAGGCGACUGACUGGACAAGUAUUGACGCUGAGGUACGAAAGCGUGGGGAGCAAACAGG